rnacentral:rRNA from 1 species
UCAAGCGACUAAGUGUAUGUGGUGGAUGCCUUGGCGAUUACAGGCGAAGAAGGACGUCGCAGCCUGCGAAAAGCCGUGGGGAGCUGGCAAGCGAGCACUGAUCCACGGAUGUCCGAAUGAGGGAACUCACCCGCAAGGGUAUCUUGAAGUGAAUACAUAGCUUCAAGAGGCGAACGCAGCGAACUGAAACAUCUAAGUAGCUGCAGGAAAAGAAAUCAACCGAGAUUCUGAAAGUAGCGGCGAGCGAAAUUGGAAGAGCCUGCAAGUGAUAUUGAAUUCGAUACUGGAACGGUCUGGAAAGUCCGGCUACAGAGGGUGAUAGCCCCGUACGGGAAAUUGGGUUCAAGGUACUGAGCUUGCGAGAAGUAGAGCGGGACACGUGAAAUCCUGCUCGAAGAUGGGGGGACCAUCCUCCAAGGCUAAAUACUCGUAAUCGACCGAUAGCGAACCAGUACUGUGAAGGAAAGGUGAAAAGAACCCCGGGAGGGGAGUGAAAUAGAUCCUGAAACCGCAUACAUACAAACAGUAGGAGCCCGCAAGGGUGACUGCGUACCUUUUGCAUAAUGGGUCAGCGACUUACGUUCAAUGGCAAGCUUAACCGAGUAGGGGAGGCGCAGCGAAAGCGAGUCCGAACAGGGCGACAUGAGUCGUUGGGCGUAGACCCGAAACCAGAUGAUCUAUCCAUGGCCAGGCUGAAGGUGUGGUAACACACACUGGAGGGCCGAACCGACUAGUGUUGCAAAAUUAGCGGAUGAGCUGUGGAUAGGGGUGAAAGGCUAAACAAAUCUGGAGAUAGCUGGUUCUCCCCGAAAACUAUUGAGGUAGUGCCUCGUGUAUGGCUCCAGGGGGUAGAGCACUGUUAUGGCUAGGGGGACAUGGCGUCUUACCAAACCAUGGCAAACUCCGAAUACUUGGAAGUCUGAGCACGGGAGACAGAGCACCGGGUGCUAACGUCCGGACUCAAAAGGGAAACAACCCAGACCGCCGGCUAAGGUCCCUAAUAUUGACUAAGUGGAAAACGAAGUGGGAAGGCUAAGACAGUCAGGAAGUUGGCUUAGAAGCAGCCAUCCUUCAAAGAAAGCGUAAUAGCUCACUGAUCGAGUCUUCCUGCGCGGAAGAUGUAACGGGGCUAAGUCAAUAACCGAAGCCGCGGAUUCGCAGCAAUGCGAGUGGUAGGGGAGCGUUCUGUAAGCCUGCGAAGGCGGAUCCGCGAGGACCGCUGGAGGUAUCAGAAGUGCGAAUGCUGACAUGAGUAACGUUAAAGCGGGUGAAAAGCCCGCUCGCCGCAAGCCCAAGGUUUCCUGCUCUACGUUCAUCGGAGCAGGGUGAGUCGGCCCCUAAGGUCAGGCUGAGAAGCGUAGCUGAUGGGAAGCUGGUUAAUAUUCCAGCACCGAUUUCAAGUGCGAAGGGGGGACGGAGUCCUGAAGGUCAUCCGGGUGUUGGAUAUCCCGGUUUACGAGCGUAGGAGGUUGACAGGCAAAUCCGUCAACGGAUCUCCAAGGCGAAGGAUCGAGGUUGAGAGAUCAACUGAAGUGACUGAAUGGGCUUCCAGGAAAAGCCUCUAAGCAUCAGCUUGGAAUUGACCGUACCGCAAACCGACACUGGUGGGCGAGCUGAAUAUGCUCAGGCGCUUGAGAGAACUCAGGAGAAGGAACUCGGCAAAUUGACCCCGUAACUUCGGGAUAAGGUGUGCCUUUGUAGUGUGAAGAGAGAAACACUCCGAGCAUGAAGAGGCCUCAGAGAAUCGGUGGCUGCAACUGUUUACUAAAAACACAGCACUCUGCAAAGAUGAAAGUCGACGUAUAGGGUGUGAUGCCUGCCCGGUGCUGGAAGAUUAAUUGAUGGGGUGCAAGCUCCUGAUCGAAGUCCCAGUAAACGGCGGCCGUAACUAUAACGGUCCUAAGGUAGCGAAAUUCCUUGUC